rnacentral:tRNA from 1 species
AGUUUUAUAUUCACUAAGUGAUAGUAGAAUGCAAUUCUGCAGGGGUAAAUUGGAAUUUACUAAGACUU